GGGAAGGUGGCUCAGUGGUAGAGCGCUUGCCUUGCAUGCAUGAGGCCCCAUGACAGGACCCCCCCCCA
rnacentral:tRNA from 1 species